rnacentral:rRNA from 1 species
CGUGCUUAACACAUGCAAGUCGAACGGGAUCCCAGGAGCUUGCUCCUGGGUGAGAGUGGCGAACGGGUGAGUAAUGCGUGACCGACCUGCCCCAUACACCGGAAUAGCUCCUGGAAACGGGUGGUAAUGCCGGAUGCUCCAGUUGGAUGCAUGUCCUUCUGGGAAAGAUUCAUCGGUAUGGGAUGGGGUCGCGUCCUAUCAGCUUGAUGGCGGGGUAACGGCCCACCAAGGCUUCGACGGGUAGCCGGCCUGAGAGGGCGACCGGCCACAUUGGGACUGAGAUACGGCCCAGACUCCUACGGGAGGCAGCAGUGGGGAAUAUUGCACAAUGGGCGCAAGCCUGAUGCAGCGACGCCGCGUGCGGGAUGACGGCCUUCGGGUUGUAAACCGCUUUUGACUGGGAGCAAGCCCUUCGGGGUGAGUGUACCUUUCGAAUAAGCACCGGCUAACUACGUGCCAGCAGCCGCGGUAAUACGUAGGGUGCAAGCGUUAUCCGGAAUUAUUGGGCGUAAAGGGCUCGUAGGCGGUUCGUCGCGUCCGGUGUGAAAGUCCAUCGCUUAACGGUGGAUCCGCGCCGGGUACGGGCGGGCUUGAGUGCGGUAGGGGAGACUGGAAUUCCCGGUGUAACGGUGGAAUGUGUAGAUAUCGGGAAGAACACCAAUGGCGAAGGCAGGUCUCUGGGCCGUCACUGACGCUGAGGAGCGAAAGCGUGGGGAGCGAACAGGAUUAGAUACCCUGGUAGUCCACGCCGUAAACGGUGGAUGCUGGAUGUGGGGACCAUUCCACGGUCUCCGUGUCGGAGCCAACGCGUUAAGCAUCCCGCCUGGGGAGUACGGCCGCAAGGCUAAAACUCAAAGAAAUUGACGGGGGCCCGCACAAGCGGCGGAGCAUGCGGAUUAAUUCGAUGCAACGCGAAGAACCUUACCUGGGCUUGACAUGUUCCCGA